AUAAAUGUUCUCUGAAAUAAGUCUAUAAAUAUAGCACUGCAUCGAUCUAUGCUUCUUGAAGCCCAAAUAACAGAGACGGGACAAAGAACAAGUUUGUGGUUUACCUUAUGGGGGAGAAAACUAUUCUGCUUUGCCUUAUGGUGCUUCUGCUGCUAGGAAAUUCCACCCGCGCUGAGCAUUGCGUGAAGAAGAGUACGCCUAUCUCGGACAUCCUGUGCCUGAAUUUCAAAUGCUAUUUCAUGUGCGCGCGUCACUGGGACAAUAUCAGGAAAGCCUACUGCGCCGGCACUUUCUUUUUCCGUCAUUGCGAUUGCGUCAUUUGCAAGUAGAGUUGCAGUCUAGCAUCAUGCCAAAGAACUGACAAUUAAUGAUGUCCAGUAAUAAGAUCUUCUCGUGACUCGCAUGCAAGAACCUUGAUCGCCAAAUAAAAUCUUCUUGUGACGUGCAUGCAA